AUGAACGCUGGCGGCGUGCCUAAUACAUGCAAGUCGAGCGAACGGACGAGAAGCUUGCUUCUCUGGUGUUAGCGGCGGACGGGUGAGUAACACGUGGAUAACCUACCUAUAAGACUGGGAUAACUUCGGGAAACCGUAGCUAAUACCGGAUAAUAUUUUGAACCGCAUGGUUCAAAAGUGAAAGACGGUCUUGCUGUCACUUAUAGAUGGAUCCGCGCUGCAUUAGCUAGUUGGUAAGGUAACGGCUUACCAAGGCAACGAUGCAUAGCCGACCUGAGAGGGUGAUCGGCCACACUGGAACUGAGACACGGUCCAGACUCCUACGGGAGGCAGCAGUAGGGAAUCUUCCGCAAUGGGCGAAAGCCUGACGGAGCAACGCCGCGUGAGUGAUGAAGGUCUUCGGAUCGUAAAACUCUGUUAUUAGGGAAGAACAUAUGUGUAAGUAACUGUGCACAUCUUGACGGUACCUAAUCAGAAAGCCACGGCUAACUACGUG
rnacentral:rRNA from 1 species